rnacentral:hammerhead_ribozyme from 1 species
AUUAAGCUGACGAGUCCUAAAUAGGACGAAAUGCACAUCUUGGAU